rnacentral:rRNA from 1 species
UACGAAGGGGGCUAGCGUUGUUCGGAAUUACUGGGCGUAAAGGGCGCGUAGGCGGCCACGCAAGUCUUGGGUGAAAUCCCUCGGCUCAACCGAGGAACUGCCUUGGAAACUGCAUGGCUCGAGGCCGGGAGAGGGUAGCGGAAUUCCCAGUGUAGCGGUGAAAUGCGUAGAUAUUGGGAGGAACACCGGUGGCGAAGGCGGCUACCUGGACCGGUUCUGACGCUGAUGCGCGAAAGCGUGGGGAGCAAACAGG